UGAGAGGGGAGGUCAUCCUACUGUGUCUGUGGCUGUGCACGGGGCUUGUGGCUGGGGACUGGAACAUCCUCAGCUACAUCACUAGCAAGAGAGAGGAUGACAGGAACGGCAACGUGGAGUUCAGCCUGAGGAACUACUGCGAGAGCUGGCGGAUGAACGCGGAGCUGAACAACAUCCGGGGGUUCGAGGUGGUGCCAGGGGAGUGCGUCGGCUACAUCGGCGCCUACAUGACGUCGACGCAGUACGAGGUGGACGUCCAGCUCGCCGCCGAGGAGUCCCUCUUGUUCCUCACCGACAGCUUUCAGCCCUCCGGCGACGGCAAGGAUGCAUGGAUCUUCGACCUCGACGACGUCCUCCUCUCCACCGUGCCCUACUUCAAGAUGCACGAC
rnacentral:lncRNA from 1 species